AUUAACUUAAAAACUAACCUAAUUAAUUAAAUCCUCGUUAUUUACGAAAAAUAAAAUCAAAUUAGGAUGAUUAAAACUAAAAAGAAAAAAUAAUUAAAAAUGAAAAGAAAAAUAAGGGAUGUAAAUAAAAAACAGGGUGGUGAGAAACUAGUAAAUAGUAAAGAGUGAGACUACAAUUGAAGUCCAAAGUCCAACUCUAAUCUAAAAUAAUGGAUGGUAAUAAUAAAUCAUAAUAAAAUAAAAUAAAUAAAAGAGAAGAAAAUAAUAAAUAAAUAAGAAAGAGGAAGGUGAGUGGCAGACUUGGUCUUUUUUUCAAAAUACCCAACCCUCCAAUCAACUGUUGACAUGUGGCACAUGAUAAAAGAAAAAAUAAAACUUAAAACUCUCUUCUUUCUCUUCAUCCCCACGUGAAAGGCAGUAAAGGAGGUUUCUCAAAACUUAGAAAAACAACACAACAUACAACCUCUCCUCUCUUUGUUUACCUACCAUGGACAUGUUAAAGACUUUAAAGUCUCUAAACCCCAAC
rnacentral:lncRNA from 1 species